rnacentral:rRNA from 1 species
UACGUAGGGUGCAAGCGUUGUCCGGAAUUAUUGGGCGUAAAGAGCUCGUAGGCGGUUUGUCGCGUCUGCUGUGAAAACUCAGGGCUUAACUCUGAGCUUGCGGUGGGUACGGGCAGACUAGAGUGCGGUAGGGGAGACUGGAAUUCCUGGUGUAGCGGUGAAAUGCGCAGAUAUCAGGAGGAACACCGGUGGCGAAGGCGGGUCUCUGGGCCGUAACUGACGCUGAGGAGCGAAAGCAUGGGGAGCGAACAGG